GACGAACGCUGGCGGCGUGCUUAACACAUGCAAGUCGAACGGAAAGGCCCCUUUUUUGGUACGCGAUUGGCUAGCGGGUGAGUAACACAUGAGUAACCUGCCCUUGACUGCGUUUGAACUUCAUUAAGCUGGGGCGAAUACCUGAUAGGUAUCCUUUCUUCAUGGUUGGGGUUGGAUGGCUUGUUCGGGUUUGUGUGGACUCGCGGCUUAUCAGCCUGUUUGUGGGGGAGUGGCUUACCAAGGCUUUGACUGGUAGCCGGCCUGGGAGGGCGAACGGCCACAUUGGGAACGAGAUACGGGCCAGAAUCCUACGGGAGGCAGCAGUGGGGAAUAUUGCACCAUGGGCCGAAGCCUGAUGCAGGCAAGCCGCGUGGGGGAUGAAGGGCCUCGGGUUGUAAACCGCUUUCAGCAGGGGAGAAGCCUGUGGUGACGGUACCUGCAGAAGAAGCACCGGCUAACUACGUG
rnacentral:rRNA from 1 species